UAGGGAAUCUUCCACAAUGGACGCAAGCCUGAUGGAGCAACGCCGCGUGAGUGAAGAAGGUUUUCGGACCGUAAAGCUCUGUUGUUGGUGAAGAAGGAUAGAGGUAGUAACUGGCCUUUAUUUGACGGUAAUCAACCAGAAAGUCACGGCUAACUACGUGCCAGCAGCCGCGGUAAUACGUAGGUGGCAAGCGUUGUCCGGAUUUAUUGGGCGUAAAGCGAGCGCAGGCGGAAGAAUAAGUCUGAUGUGAAAGCCCUCGGCUUAACCGAGGAAUUGCAUCGGAAACUGUUUUUCUUGAGUGCAGAAGAGGAGAGUAGAACUCCAUGUGUAGCGGUGGAAUGCGUAGAUAUAUGGAAGAAUACCAGUGGCGAAGGCGGCUCUCUGGUCUGCAACUGACGCUGAGGCUCGAAAGCAUGGGUAGCGAACAGGAUUAGAUACCCUUGGUAGUCCAUGCCGUAAACGAUGAGUGCUAAGUGUUGGGAGGCUUCCGCCUCUCAGUGCUGCAGCUAACGCAUUAAGCACUCCGCCUGGGGGAGUACGACCGCAAGGUUGAAAC
rnacentral:rRNA from 1 species